rnacentral:rRNA from 1 species
AGUGAACGCUGGCGGUAGGCCUAACACAUGCAAGUCGAACGGCAGCACAGUAAGAGCUUGCUCUUACCGUUGGCUAGUGGCGGACGGGUGAGGCAUACAUCGGCAUCUACUUUUUCUUGGGGGAUAACGUAGGGAAACUUCCGCUACUACCUCAUACGACCUACGGGUUAAAUCAGUGGAUCUUCGCACCUUGCGCGUUUGUAUUAGCCGACGUCGGAUUAGCUAGUUGGCAUGGUAAAGGCUUACCAAGGCAACGAUGCGUAGCUGGUCUGAGAGGAUGAUCGGCCACACUGGAACUGAGACACGGUCCAGACUCCUACGGGAGGCAGCAGUAGGGAAUAUUGCGCAAUGGGCGAAAGCCUGACGGAGCAAUGCCGCGUGAGUGAAGAAGGUCUUCGGAUCGUAAAGCUCUGUUAUUAGGGAAGAAAAAAUGUGGAAGUAAAUAUGCACGUCUUGACGGUACCUAAUCAGAAAGCAACGGCUAACUACGUG